rnacentral:lncRNA from 1 species
AAUAAACUCUUUUAUAUUUAAAAAGAUUUAUAUAUAAGGCUUUCUAAAAUAUCUAGAAAUUUUCUAACAUUCUUGGCUAUACCAAAUCAUAGCUAAUCAUUUUCUCGUAGAUUAGGUUUUCAAUAACUUCAAAAGAAAUCCACAAUCUUCUCUCAAAAGCUCAUCUUUAUAUAAAAAUUCAACCAUAGCUCCAUAUAUCCAUCUUCAAUAUAUAUAUAAAGUCUUGGCUCCCAAAAUAUUCCUUUAUUUUGUAUAAAAUACUCAAGUUAUAAUAAAACCCCUUCAAAAUAUAAUAUUUCCAUAAAAGAUUUCUUCUUUUCAAAUUUUAGAAAUUCAUAUCCCUUGAUUCAAUCGUUCAAAUUUUGCUAAAUUCAAAAAUAUUAUAAAAUUCACCCUUAAACUUUAUAUUACAAAAAUUCAACUGUAAAUUCACUACCAAUCGUCAAGCAUCUUAAAAAUCCUAGCAGAUGCUCUAAAAUCCUAAUUCAUAAGUACCUAAGUACUAUUUUCUUCA